rnacentral:rRNA from 1 species
UUUUAUAUUUGAUUUAAUUAAAAUUAUUUAUAAAUAUUAAAAAAUUGAAAUUAUAUUAAUUAUUUUAUUGGGGUGAUAGAAAAAUUAAAAUAACUUUUUUUUAAAUUAAAACAAUAAUAUUUGAAUAUAUGAGCCAAUUAUAUUGAUUAUAAGAAAAA